GCUAUCAUGCAAGUCGAGCGGACCGACGGGAGCUUGCUCCCUUAGGUCAGCGGCGGACGGGUGAGUAACACGUGGGUAACCUGCCUGUAAGACUGGGAUAACUCCGGGAAACCGGGGCUAAUACCGGAUGCUUGAUUGAACCGCAUGGUUCAAUCAUAAAAGGUGGCUUUUAGCUACCACUUACAGAUGGACCCGCGGCGCAUUAGCUAGUUGGUGAGGUAACGGCUCACCAAGGCGACGAUGCGUAGCCGACCUGAGAGGGUGAUCGGCCACACUGGGACUGAGACACGGCCCAGACUCCUACGGGAGGCAGCAGUAGGGAAUCUUCCGCAAUGGACGAAAGUCUGACGGAGCAACGCCGCGUGAGUGAUGAAGGUUUUCGGAUCGUAAAACUCUGUUGUUAGGGAAGAACAAGUACCGUUCGAAUAGGGCGGCACCUUGACGGUACCUAACCAGAAAGCCACGGCUAACUACGUGCCAGCAGCCGCGGUAAUACGUAGGUGGCAAGCGUUGUCCGGAAUUAUUGGGCGUAAAGCGCGCGCAGGCGGUUUCUUAAGUCUGAUGUGAAAGCCCCCGGCUCAACCGGGGAGGGUCAUUGGAAACUGGGGAACUUGAGUGCAGAAGAGGAGAGUGGAAUUCCACGUGUAGCGGUGAAAUGCGUAGAGAUGUGGAGGAACACCAGUGGCGAAGGCGACUCUCUGGUCUGUAACUGACGCUGAGGCGCGAAAGCGUGGGGAGCGAACAGGAUUAGAUACCCUGGUAGUCCACGCCGUAACGAUGAGUGCUAAGUGUUAGAGGGUUUCCGCCCUUUAGUGCUGCAGCAAACGCAUUAAGCACUCCGCCUGGGGAGUACGGUCGCAAGACUGAAACUCAAAGGAAUUGACGGGGGCCCGCACAAGCGGUGGAGCAUGUGGUUUAUUCGAAGCAACGCGAGACCUUACCAGGUCUUGACAUCUUCUGACACCCUAGAGAUAGGGCUUCCCCUUCGGGGGCAGAGUGACAG
rnacentral:rRNA from 1 species